UACGCAGGGUGCGAGCGUUAAUCGGAAUUACUGGGCGUAAAGGGCGCGCAGGCGGCUUUGUUUGUCAGGCGUGAAAGCCCCGGGCUUAACCUGGGAACUGCGUUUGAUACGGCAGGGCUAGAGUUCGGGAGAGGAGAGUGGAAUUCCCAGUGUAGAGGUGAAAUUCGUAGAUAUUGGGAAGAACACCGGUGGCGAAGGCGGCUCUCUGGACCGAGACUGACGCUGAGGCGCGAAAGCGUGGGGAGCAAACAGG
rnacentral:rRNA from 1 species